rnacentral:rRNA from 1 species
GACGGAGGAUGCAAGUGUUAUCCGGAAUCACUGGGCGUAAAGUGUCUGUAGGUGGUUUAAAAAGUCUAUUGUUAAAAAUUGAAGCUUAACUUCAAAGAUGCAAUGGAAACUUUUAAACUUGAGUAUGGUAGGGGUAGAGGGAAUUUCCAGUGGAGCGGUGAAAUGCGUAGAUAUUGGAAAGACCACCAAUGGCGAAGGCACUCUACUGGGCCAUUACUGACACUGAGAGACGAAAGCUAGGGGAGCAAAUGGG